GAUGAACGCUAGCUACAGGCUUAACACAUGCAAGUCGAGGGGAAACGGCAUCGAAAGCUUGCUUUUGAUGGGCGUCGACCGGCGCACGGGUGGGUAACGCGUAUCCAACCUGCCCAUCACUUGGGAAUAACCUUGCGAAAGUAAGACUAAUGCCCAAUGACAUCCCACGAAGGCAUCCGAAUGGGAUUAAAGAUUUAUCGGUGAUGGAUGGGGAUGCGUCUGAUUAGCUUGUUGGCGGGGUGACGGCCCACCAAGGCAACGAUCAGUAGGGGUUCUGAGAGGAAGGUCCCCCACAUUGGAACUGAGACACGGUCCAAACUCCUACGGGAGGCAGCAGUGAGGAAUAUUGGUCAAUGGGCGAGAGCCUGAACCAGCCAAGUAGCGUGCAGGAUGACGGCCCUAUGGGUUGUAAACUGCUUUUAGAAGGGAAUAAAGUGGGUCACGUGUGACUUUUUGCAUGUACCUUAUGAAUAAGGACCGGCUAAUUCCGUG
rnacentral:rRNA from 1 species